UUACUUUAAAGAGAGAGUAAAUAAACUAUUUAGAGACACAAAUGCACAUACAAUAAGUAUGUAUAUAUACAUACAUACAUAUAUGUAUGUACAUAUGUAUAUACAUUUAUAAGCAUCUAUGAGUGCAAAACAAAACAGACAAAAAACAACGACAACAAAGCACAAAAUAUAGACACUCACCACUUGCAUAGUCUCCUAGCCAGGCCCCACUUCGUGCCGCGCAAUGGUACAUGGUGGGUCGGUGGCAGAGGGAGACGCAGAGACUUCGACGACGACAACAACGGCGGCAGCGACGGCGGCGGCUAUGAUGACAAUACCGCGCAACAACCCAAUUGUGUUUUGGUAGCAGACAACAUACAAGUUGUCUUCCAGUCAGGUCAUGUGUAGACACAAGACGAGAAUAGACCUUUCUCCUUCGUUUUGCCGUACACGCGGAACUGAUUUUCUACAAGACUCAAAUCAGUUCUUGCUAAAAGUCUGCUCCUAGACUUGGGAUUUUUUCUCGAACAUGUCCAAUUUUGUGUAUCAUGUGUCAUUUGUUUUGUGAGUGCUGUACAAGAAAGUUGAUUUUUUCCUGCGCGUCUUUUAUAAAACAACCAGAGUUACAUAUAUUUACAGUUUUGAGGACCACGAAAGAGCUAUGUUGGAUGAUCAAAAUAGAAACUACAAUGCAUUGUCCAAGGCGAAGAAUAUAGAAAACGGCGAAAUAAAUUAAUUUUGUCUUUUAGCUCGUAGAUUAUUUAGUUAUAAGUAAAACUGUUUAGAUAAUAUAUAAUUUUAAGUACUCAUUGUUUUAGUUUAAACAAAUUUAAUUUGAAGUGCAAUAAACAUUUUAUU